rnacentral:rRNA from 1 species
CCUACGGGAGGCAGCAGUAGGGAAUCUUUCACAAUGGGCGAAAGCCUGAUGGAGCAACGCCGCGUGCAGGAUGAAGGCCUUCGGGUUGUAAACUGCUUUUAUAAGCGAGAAAUAUGAUGGUAACUUAUGAAUAAGGAUCGGCUAUCUUCGUGACAGCAGCCGCGGUCAUACGUAGGAUCCGAGCAUUAUCCGGAGUGACUGGGUGUAAAGAGUUGCGUAGGUGGCGUAAUAAGUAGCUAGUGAAAUCUGGUGGCUCAACCAUUCAGACUAUUAGCUAAACUGUUAAGCUCGAGGACGUUAGGGGUAACUGGAAUUUCUGGUGUAGGGGUGAAAUGCGUAGAUAUUAGAAGGAACACCAAUAGCGUAGGCAGGUUACUGGGACGGUUCUGACACUAAGGCACGAAAGCGUAGGGAGCAAACGGGAUUAGAUACCCGGGUAGUC